AUUGAACGCUGGCGGCAGGCCUAACACAUGCAAGUCGAGCGGAUGAAGCGAGCUUGCUCCUGUAUUCAGCGGCGGACGGGAGAGUCAUGCCUAGGAAUCUGCCUGGUAGUGGGGGAUAACGUCCGGACACGGGCGCUAAUACCGCAUACGUCGUGAGGGAGAAAGUGGGGGAUCUUCGGACCUCACGCUAUCAGAUGAGCCGAGGUCGGAUUAGCUAGCUGGUGGGGUAAAGGCCUACCAAGGGGACGAUCCGUAGCUGGACUGAGAGGAUGAUCGGUCCCACUGGGACUGAGACACGGGCCAGACUCCGACGGGGGGCAGCAGUGGGGAAUUUUGGACAAUGGGCGAAAGCCUGAUCCAGCCAUGCCGCGUGUGUGAAGAAGGUCUUCGGAUUGUAAAGCACUUUAAGUUGGGAGGAAGAGCAGUAAGUUAAUACCUUGCUGUUUUGACGUUACCAACAGAAUAAGCACCGGCUAACUUCGUG
rnacentral:rRNA from 1 species